CAGUCGCCGCGGGAAUACGAAGGGGGCUAGCGUUGUUCGGAAUUACUGGGCGUAAAGCGCACGUAGGCGGAUAUUUAAGUCAGGGGUGAAAUCCCAGAGCUCAACUCUGGAACUGCCUUUGAUACUGGGUAUCUUGAGUAUGGAAGAGGUGAGUGGAAUUCCGAGUGUAGAGGUGAAAUUCGUAGAUAUUCGGAAGAACACCAGUGGCGAAGGCGGCUCACUGGACCGUUGUUGACGCUGAGGUGCGAAAGCGUGGGGAGCAAACAGGAUUAGAUACCCCUGUAGUCCCUGUCUCUUAUAC
rnacentral:rRNA from 1 species